GCCUACGGCCACGCCACCCUGAACAAGCCCGAUCCUGUCUGAUCUCGGAAGAUAAGCAGGGUCGGGCCUGGUUAGCACUUGGAUGGGAGACCCCCUAGGAAGACCAAGCGCUGAAGGUG
rnacentral:rRNA from 1 species